CCCUUAGAUGUUCUGGGCCGCACGCGCGCUACACUGACUACUUCAACGAGUUGUUUCCUUGAUCGAAAGGUCUGGGUAAUCUUUGAAAGGUAGUCGUGAUGGGGAUAGAUCCUUGCAAUUUUUGAUCUUCAACGAGGAAUUCCUAGUAAACGCAAGGCAUCAGCUUGUGCUGAUUACGUCCCUGCCCUUUGUACACACCGCCCGUCGCUCCUACCGAUUGGGUGCUCCGGUGAAUUGUUUGGACUGCUGUCAGUCUUUUUGGCUGUCGGCGAGAAGCUCUGUGAACCUUAGCACCUAGAGGAAGGAGAAGUCGUAACA
rnacentral:rRNA from 1 species